AGGGAAGAAGCGAGAGUGACGGUACCUGCAGAAGAAGCGCCGGCUAACUACGUGCCAGCAGCCGCGGUAAUACGUAGGGCGCAAGCGUUGUCCGGAAUUAUUGGGCGUAAAGAGCUUGUAGGUGGCUUGUCGCGUCUGCCGUGAAAACCCGAGGCUCAACCUCGGGCGUGCGGUGGGUACGGGCAGGCUAGAGUGUGGUAGGGGAGACUGGAACUCCUGGUGUAGCGGUGAAAUGCGCAGAUAUCAGGAAGAACACCGAUGGCGAAGGCAGGUCUCUGGGCCAUUACUGACACUGAGAAGCGAAAGCAUGGGUAGCGAACAGGAUUAGAUACCCUGGUAGUCCAUGCCGUAAACGUUGGGCACUAGGUGUGGGGGACAUUCCACGUUUUCCGCGCCGUAGCUAACGCAUUAAGUGCCCCGCCUGGGGAGUACGGCCGCAAGGCUAAAACUCAAAGGAAUUGACGGGGGCCCGCACAAGCGGCGGAGCAUGCUGAUUAAUUCGAUGCAACGCGAAGAACCUUACCAAGGCUUGACAUGCACUGGACGGCUGCAGAGAUGUGGCUUUCUUUGGACUGGUGCACAGGUGGUGCAUGGUUGUCGUCAGCUCGUGUCGUGAGAUGUUGGGUUAAGUCCCGCAACGAGCGCAACCCUCGUUCUAUGUUGCCAGCACGUGAUGGUGGGGACUCAUAGGAGACUGCCGGGGUCAACUCGGAGGAAGGUGGGGACGACGUCAAAUCAUCAUGCCCCUUAUGUCUUGGGCUUCAAGCAUGCUACAAUGGUCGGUACAAUGGGUUGCGAAACUGUGAGGUGGAGCGAAUCCCAAAAAGCCGGCCUCAGUUCGGAUUGGGGUCUGCAACUCGACCCCAUGAAGUCGGAGUCGCUAGUAAUCGCAGAUCAGCAACGCUGCGGUGAAUACGUUCCCGGGCCUUGUACACACCGCCCGUCAAGUCACGAAAGUCGGUAACACCCGAAGCCAGUGGCCCAUCCUCGUGA
rnacentral:rRNA from 1 species